GAUGAAGAACGUAGCGAAAUGCGAUAAGUAGUGUGAAUUGCAGAAUUCAGUGAAUCAUCGAAUCUUUGAACGCACAUUGCGCCCCCUGGUAUUCCGGGGGACAUGCCUGUCCGAGCGUCAUUGCUGCCCUCAAGCACGGCUUGUGUGUUGGGCCUCCGUCCUCCUCCCGGGGGACGGGCCCGAAAGGCAGCGGCGGCACCGCGUCCGGUCCUCGAGCGUAUGGGGCUUCGUCACCCGCUCUUGUAGGCCCGGCCGGCGCUUGCCGACACAUCAAUCUUUUUUCCAGGUUGACCUCGGAUCAGGUAGGGAUACCCGCUGAACUUAAGCAUAUCAAUAAGCGGAGGA
rnacentral:misc_RNA from 1 species